rnacentral:rRNA from 1 species
CCUCUAUAUAUAAGCUCGCGCGUCCGGGACGGGUCCGCCGUCCCAUCAGCUAGUUGGUGAGGUAACGGCUCACAAGGCUUCGACGGGUAGCUGGUCUGAGAGGAUGGCCAGCCACACUGGAACUGAGACACGGUCCAGACUCCUACGGGAGGCAGCAGGUGGGGAAUUCUUGCGCAAGUGGGACGAAAGCCUGACGCAGCGACGCCGCGGUGGGCGAAGAAGCCGUUCGGGUUAGUAAACGCCCUGGUGGGGAGAACGAACCGUACGGGGGCGAAUACCCUCCGUGCCUGACGGUACUCCUUUAGCAAGCAUCGGCUAACUCUGUG